UUUCCUCCUACAUUGCAAAGACUGGAUUGAAAGCUACUGUGCUAGGGAAAGGCUGCAGGGUCUUACCCUACCUAGGCCAGUUCUGCCUUGCUAUUGUCUGGGAAAGCGGCUGAACACUUGGGAAAUUCUUUUCUGUAGGCCCUCUGCAGUAGGGAAGAGGAAACACAAGGAAGCUUCUGGACAUGUGUGGGUCUGUGCCCACGAGUGCACAAGGAGAAAAAGAAAUCCGUGCCUGUUCACAUUUGUAUCUUCGGUGAAAGUCAGGCAGCUUUCCUGAGAGUCUAGAGAAAAACUUGGAAGAAAGAACAAAUGCUUGCUGCAUGUGUGAGUCCUGAUAUUUAGUGUUGUUCAUGAAAGGAUCAAACAGACCUUCUUCCUGAUCAACAGCAGCUGAAAAUCAACACCAUAACAGGGCUGGAGGAUAAGGAAGGGAGCCUGCUCACAUCGGGGUUGUUACCUGGGGAUUGCUGCCGAAUCCUGAGGGGCACUCAUGUUGGAGAGACCCUGGCUCACUCAUGCCCUGAGGAACCAGACAUGGGAAAUCAAGAAACCAUGUCCCUGACAAUUCAACCAGCUCCUCUAGUGUUCCAGAACUAGCUAAUGGGGCUGGCCUGCAGCUAGGAGCCUUAGGUAUCCUGGACUGGAUGCUGGAGAAGCUGGCAACCCAGAAAAUCAAUGGAAGAGACAAAAAUAGCCCCAUGAAAAGUGUGUUCUCUCUAACCAAAGACCAGGAAAGGGGCAGCCUAGCAACACAGAAAAGUUUCAGAUAAUAACCAUCUUACUCUAGUCAAGUCCCAUGGAAGAAGCAGUGGUCUCACCCCACCCACUCCGUUAAAGGCCCAAUGGGAGCCCAGAUGUCCACCCAUGCCUGGCUGUAACGAGCCCCCCCCCAGCCCCCACCGGACUGGUUUCACAGAAGGCGAGUGGGGAGCUGAAGCUUUUAUUCCCAUCUCCAUGGUGUCAAUUGGGGUCUUGCACUUUCACCCCUACUCCUAGCAGUAGGAAGGCUACCCAGUGUCUAUGGAGGCCUGCUGAAACAGAAGAUUUAAAUAAGAUCCAGAGUCUCAUAACGUAAUACCCCAAAUGUCCAAGGUACAAUUAAAUCCAUACAUUAUUUCAAGAACUAAGAAAAUCUCAACUUUAAUGAGAAAAGACAAUCAACAGAUGCCAAUGCUGAGAUGACACGUUAGAAUUAUCUGACAAGGGUUUAAAAGCAGACAUCAUAAAAUUGCUUCAGUGAGCUAUUAUGAACACACUUGAAAUACAUGAAAAAAAACAGAAAGUCUCAGCAAUCAAACAGAAGAUAUAAAGAAGAAUCAAAUAGAAAAUUUUAGAACUGAAGACUACAAUAAUCAAAAUAAAAAACUCAUUGGAUGGGCUCAGCAUCAGGUUGCUGAGGACAGAGGGAAGAAUCAGUGAAUUUGAAGAUACAACAAUAGAAAUUAUGCAAUUUGACCAACAGAGAAGAAUAAGACUGAAAAAGUGAACACAAUCUCAGGGAUCUGUGUUACUGGAGUUCCAGAAGGAAAGGAGGGUAAGGGUGAAAAAGUAUUCAUAGAAAUAAUGACUGAAAAAUUUUCCAAAUUUGAUAAUUUGGCAAAAAAAAAAAAAAAAAAUGAGUGAAUACAAAAGACUUUCCUUUUCUGCAGUUUUCUAAAUUAUGUUUGACAUUUGAAGCAAAAAGUAUACUAUUCUGUGAUGUGGCUCUCAAUGUGUGUAGAGGAAAUAUUUUAGACAAUUAUAAACAGGGAAGGGCAAAGGGACUUAAAAGGAGGUAAAUUUUCUAUACUUUCUAUAUUUCAUUCAAAUUGGUAAAACAACUACACCAGUAGGUCUUUGUGGUGAUGGAGUAGCUCUGUAUCUUGAUUAAGGUGGUGAUUACAGGAAUCUACAUGUGAUAAAAUGUGAAUAUCUAUAUACAUUGCACUAAUGUCAAUUUCCUGGUUUUGACAUUGAAUUAUAGUUACCCAAGAUGCAACCUUUGGGGAAAACUGGGUGAAGGGUUCAAGGACCCUUUGGUACUAUGUUUAUAAUUUCCUGUAAAUCUAUAAUUAUUUCAAAAUUAAAAAUAUAAGAAGAUGGAAAACUAAAACUAAAAGUCUCAUUCUGAUUCUGACUAUAACAACAUUUUGGAAGAGAGUUUUUUUCACAAAGCAAAGCACUGAUUUUCUUAAAUUUUAAAAUUUAAUUGGGAAAGAGUAAAUAUGAUGAAAUAAAAAUGUCAGAUGAGAAAGAAAUUCAUCAAGGUUGUCCUUUAAGACAGACAGGAUAGCAGUUCUACCCAGAAAUUCAGGAUGAGCUUCUGCUCUGGUCACAUCUGAUAUCCCUUGUCGGGGAUAUUCCUCUAAAGCCUAAAAGUGGUUAACUAAUGUUAACUGUAAUAAUGCUAUGUAUCACUUUCAAACCUAAAGCCAUUUUAGGGAUAAAAACUAAUUAAGUUUUGACAGUUUGUCAUAUUGUUAGAGAUAACUAAGACUCAUUAUUUUCUUCUGUAAGUUAAAUUACAGGUUAUUAGAAUUAGGGUUCUCAAUCAUACUGACAACUGGUAGAAAAGGUUGAAAAAAAGAAAAGAAAAAUUCUCUUGGAUGUUGUUGGAACUGUCAUGUCCGCAGAACACCAGAAGAUGGCAAAGAAAGCUUUCUGAGGCAUUUGUAGCUACAAGAUCAUUGAUUGAUUAUUACAAUAAAUAAAAGAAUGUUUUCUGCUUUGCCAAUGUAUUGAAAUCUUGGUGCAUUUUGGUCUUCUCUAUUUUUAAUCAAGGAUACUUGCCAGCAGUAAAGGUUUGCACUGAGAGCUUGACAGAAAGUCAGUAGCAGAAGUAAUAGACCAAAAUAGAAAAUGUUGCGUCCUGGGUUUACCGCCUGGAAUGAAAUAAUGUUGUUACACAAGUGGCUUUGUGGGGUCUUCCAAAUGCCACUAUUAUUUAGAUAUAAGGUUUUCAAUUGCUAUGACUUUGUUAUACUCAUUGAAGUACAACACGAAUGGAAUCAGACAACUCUGAAGGCUUUCAAAAAUGGCAGUUUCUUCCAUUAUAAAACAGUGCC